rnacentral:rRNA from 1 species
AUUGAACGCUGGCGGCAGGCCUAAUACAUGCAAGUCGAACGAGUGGCGGACGGGUGAGUAAUGUCUGGGAACCUGCCUGAUGGCGGGGGAUAACUACUGGAAACGGUAGCUAAUACCGCAUACCAGCGGCUGUGCCAUGAUGGGAUUAGCUAGUGGGUGGGGUAACGGCUCACCUAGGCAACGAUCCCUAGCUGGUCGGAGAGGAUGACCAGCCACACUGGAACUGAGACACGGGCCAGACGCCUACGGGAGGAAGCAGUAGGGAAUUGUGCAAAAUGGGCGCAAGCCUGAUGCAGCCAUGCCGCGUGAAUGAAGAAGGCCUUCGGGUUGUAAAAAACUUUCAGCAGGGAGGCGUUACCCAAAGAGGAAGCACCGGCUAACUCCGUGCCAGCAGCCGCGGUAAUUC